UACGUAGGGUGCAAGCGUUGUCCGCAAUUAUUGGGCGUAAAGCGUGCGCAGGCGGUUUUGUAAGUCUGUCGUGAAAGCCCCGGGCUUAACCUGGGAAUUGCGAUGGAGACUGCAAGGCUUGAAUCUGGCAGAGGGGGGUAGAAUUCCACGUGUAGCAGUGAAAUGCGUAGAGAUGUGGAGGAACACCGAUGGCGAAGGCAGCCCCCUGGGUCAAGAUUGACGCUCAUGCACGAAAGCGUGGGGAGCAAACAGG
rnacentral:rRNA from 1 species